rnacentral:rRNA from 1 species
AUUGAACGCUGGCGGCAGGCCUAACACAUGCAAGUCGAGCGGAUGAAGGGAGCUUGCUCCUGGAUUCAGCGGCGGACGGGUGAGUAAUGCCUAGGAAUCUGCCUGGUAGUGGGGGAUAACGUCCGGAAACGGGCGCUAAUACCGCAUACGUCCUGAGGGAGAAAGUGGGGGAUCUUCGGAACUCACGCUAUCAGAUGAGCCUAGGUCGGAUUAGCUAGUUGGUGGGGUAAAGGCCUACCAAGGCGACGAUCCGUAACUGGUCUGAGAGGAUGAUCAGUCACACUGGAACUGAGACACGGUCCAGACUCCUACGGGAGGCAGCAGUGGGGAAUAUUGGACAAUGGGCGAAAGCCUGAUCCAGCCAUGCCGCGUGUGUGAAGAAGGUCUUCGGAUUGUAAAGCACUUUAAGUUGGGGGGAAGGGCAGUAAGUUAAUACCUUGCUGUUUUGACGUUACCAACAGAAUAAGCACCGGCUAACUUCGUG